UGUGGCCUGAAAUACUGUUUGUUAUAAUUUCCAAUUUUUUAUAUUUGCUGAGGAGUGUUUUACUUCCAAUUAUGUGGUCAGUUUUAGAAUUAGUGUGAUAUGGUGCUGAGAAGAACGUAUAUUCUGUGAUUUGGGGUGGAGAGGUCUGUAGAUGUCUAUUAGGUCUGCUUGAUCCAGAGCUGAGUUCAAGUCCUGAACAUCCUUGUUAAUUUUCUGUCUC
rnacentral:lncRNA from 1 species